rnacentral:rRNA from 1 species
UACGGGAGUGGCAAGCGUUAUCUGGAAUUAUUGGGCGUAAAGCGUCCGCAGGGCGGUCUUACAAGUCUGUCGUUAAAGCGUGGAGCUUAACUCCAUUUCAGCGAGUGGAAACUGUAAGACUAGAGUGUGGUAGGGGCAGAGGGAAUUCCCGGAUGGUAGCGGUGAAAUGCGUAGAUAUCGGGAAGAACACCAGUGGCGAAGGCGCUCUGCUGGGCCAUAACUGACGCUCAUGGACGAAAGCCAGGGGAGCGAAAGGG